AUUGAACGCUGGCGGCAUGCCUUACACAUGCAAGUCGAACGGCAGCACGGGGGCAACCCUGGUGGCGAGUGGCGAACGGGUGAGUAACAUAUCGGAACGUGCCCUGGAGUGGGGGAUAACUAGUCGAAAGAUUAGCUAAUACCGCAUACGAUCUACGGAUGAAAGUGGGGGAUCGCAAGACCUCAUGCUCGUGGAGCGGCCGAUAUCUGAUUAGCUAGUUGGGGGGUAAAGGCCUACCAAGGCAUCGAUCAGUAGCUGGUCUGAGAGGACGACCAGCCACACUGGGACUGAGACACGGCCCAGACUCCUACGGGAGGCAGCAGUGGGGAAUUUUGGACAAUGGGCGCAAGCCUGAUCCAGCAAUGCCGCGUGAGUGAAGAAGGCCUGGUUGUAAG
rnacentral:rRNA from 1 species